AGCACGGUGGCACAGUAGUUAGCACUGUUGCCUCACAGCAAGAGGGUCAUGGGUUGGAAUCCUUUCUGUGUGG